GAUGAACGCUGGCGGCGUGCCUAAUACAUGCAAGUCGAGCGAACAGACGAGGAGCUUGCUCCUCUGACGUUAGCGGCGGACGGGUGAGUAACACGUGGAUAACCUACCUAUAAGACUGGGAUAACUUCGGGAAACCGGCGCUAAUACCGGAUAAUAUAUUGAACCGCAUGGUUCAAUAGUGAAAGACGGUUUUGCCGUCACUUAUCGAUGGAUCCGCGCCGCAUUAGCUAGUUGGUAAGGUAACGGCUUACCAAGGCAACGAUGCGUAGCCGACCUGAGAGGGUGAUCGGCCACACUGGAACUGAGACACGGACCAGACUCCUACGGGAGGCAGCAGUAGGGAAUCUUCCGCAAUGGGCGAAAGCCUGACGGAGCAACGCCGCGUGAAUGAUGAAGGUCUUCGGAUCGUAAAACUCUGUUAUGAGGGAAGAACAAAUGUGUAAGUAACUAUGCACGUCUUGACGGUACCUAAUCAGAAAGCCACGGCUAACUACGUG
rnacentral:rRNA from 1 species